GAUCCCGGAGAGGCGGUUCUUUCCCGGCAUCAGCGCUGCGGCUGGAGGCGCGGCUGAUGUUCUGCGUGCUGUCCACUGCCACCUUGGCCUGCUCUUGCCACCCUGGCGCCGCGAACUGUGUGCCGCCGCUCCCUUCGCCCUGUCUUGGGACGGCCGGCGCUAAGAAUUUAUGCUAUGACCUUCGAUUCAGGCAGGAGGUAAAGGAACAACAUUGGAUGACACCAAACUCGAUCAGAAACCGUGCCACUGGUGAAGAGAUUCCUGGGCAGCCAGAAACCCUGUCAUUGGUCAAGAGCAACACUAAGACCUACCUGUCACUUGUAUCGAGGCUUCCUGCCCAGUGAGUUCACCAGCAAGCCAGCAUGAAUCACUGCUGCCAUGGAUAUCCUUGUGAGGCAGCUGGGAAGUCUUGGCUGCAUUGUGAACAAUAUCUUUCCAAGGUGUUUUAGAGAGUUUCCCAGAUCUUCCAUGUGAGUGCACGUGCAGAAGAGGGGGUCCUCUCAGUGAUUAAGGGAUUGCAAUUGCAAAUGCCUGCAGAGUCCAGAUGGGGUAGAUGUGAGACGCAAGAAUUUGGACUCAUAAAAUCUUCUCCUGAAAAUAUCUAUCUGAAGGCCUGUUCUGCCGGUUUUUCCCAGAGCACAGAGUACCUCGUUCCUGAUCUCCACCCUGAACUCCUUUCAGGGUGUGUGGAAGGAAAGAAAACGGCUGUGAACAGAGGGAGAACUGUCUGUUCUUCAAAGAUCCUUCUGUGGCAGUGAUUGGGGCUACUAGUGCUCACUGCCUUGACAGAGACCUUCUUCAACAGGGAGACCUUUCGAAACAACUUAUCAAGUUCUCACCACAAAUACCAUUGGAGUUACAAUUGGAUUGGCGUUGAAUAUAUAGAUUAAUUUUUGGAGAGCUAUCAUCUUUGUAAUUUUCUCAUACGUGAAUGUGGAUAUGUACCCAUUGAAGACCUUCAAAUCCUCCUCCAAUAUAGAGCUAACUGGUUGUGUUUUCACUACAAAAGUUUAGGAUCAGAGAGGUAAGAAUCCUAUUCCACUUGAUGGUUUUGUUUCAAUUUUAAGAGCAAUUCUUUGAGAGGGACGUAGAAGAGAGCAUGCAGGAUACAGAGAGAGAUUUGAACUUAAAUCCUAUGAGAAGCAUUUAGAGCUGUUUAGAUUGUGGGAGACAAGUCCAAAAUGGAGGGUUUGCUUGUCUGUUUUCAGAUUUAUUUUGGAGUUAGGGAUAGUUGUUUUUAUUGCUUGAAGGUAAUUCUAGUUAAUGGAGUAACAGAUUCAAGGACAUCCAAAAAUGAAAAUACCCUUGGAAGUGAUAACCUCAUGGCUUGUAUGACCACUUGAGAUGGAAUUUGAAACUCCCUGCAUGGAACAAAGGUUGGAUUACAUGCACUUUAAGGUCACAUUUAUUCCUGAGAUUUUGACUGUCUCAGGGCAGAUGAAACUGAUUUUUAUAGUGUGCCUACUUCACAUGUUCCCAUUUAAUCUGAGGCAUCCCAGAGAGGUAGAAUAAAUUUGCUAAGGUAACUAAUCUCAUUAAUGGCAGAGCAUACACCUUUUACCUUUCUCCUCCCAUAUAUCUUAAUUUGAAAUAGUAAUUCCUUAAAUUUGUAUUGCAGUUAAAUCAUUUAGAAGCCUUUCAGAAACAUGGUUUUAUUUGACUCUAAGGAAAAUCUGGUGAAAUUGGAAGAACAGAUUCCACUUGUCUAUUUUAUAGGUGAAAAACAUAGAUUUCUCUGGGGUAAAAGGGAUCUGGGAGACCAUUCAAUACAACCUCUAUAUAUUUGCAGUUGGAGAGACAGUUCCAGAAUUAACAAUACCAAGAUAUUUUAUACGCAUUCUUUGAUUUGUGUUGGGGGAAGGGGAAGGUCGAACUAGAUGAUUUCAUGGGAGUACAGAAGGGUUGUGUUGUUUUUACCCAUUUUGUAGUAUAUACUUGAUUGAUGCCAGCUCACCAUAUUUGAUUAAGUGGCAUUUUAACAAACAUUGAUCAAAGGCACUAAAGAUUUAAGGAAGAAAUGUAAGGCUUUAGGUACCAGACUGUAGAAGAUAUGUUGGGUCAUAAGAUGCUGCUUGGUAGCCUUGAAAGCAUUUCCUGUUUCAAGUUCAAGGAUCACCUGGGAAGCAGGCCACUGGAAAAUGAGUUAUGUUGUACAAUCAGUCUACUGUGGAUGGGAAUGAGAUUAGGCUUAGCACUUGCCCAAAACUUUGGGAGCCACCAUUGACUCAUGAGUCUGUGACAUGGGCUCCAAAUGCGGGCUCUUUUGAUUAUAACAUAGGCUGUAGAUUUAGAACCUCAAGUAUGGAAGGACCUUAAAAUCAUAUCCAAAACAGCUUACUUUAAUUUGACCCUAAUUCAGUCCCUUUUGUAAUAUACCCAACAAAUGGUCUUUUAGCCUUUAAGUAACUGCACUUAGUGGUGGAGAACUCCAUCCUGAGUGACCUUGUCUCUUCUUUCAAUACCUCUUUGCAGUAUUGAGCUGAAAUACAGUUUUCUACAGCUUCAACUCAUUCAUCAUAUUUGUAUUAUGCCCCAAUUCAAGAAUGUUGCUUUAUUGUUGUCUCUCCUGCAUCUUCAGCUUCUCUCUGCUGCCUUUUGAGCUCCCAGGCACUGUGCAGGGUGAUGGGGAUGUGGAGAUGAAUUAGACACAAUUCCUGCCCUCAAGGAGUUCUCAGUCUAGUGAGCGAGUUCGACAUGUACACAGAUAAUUACAACAGUAUGGUAUGCUCUACAUGGAGGUAGGUACAAGAUACUGUGGGAUCAGAAGAGAAAUCAUUUGACUAAGUCUAAGAUACAUAGGUUGGAGAAACAUGCUUAAGUUGAUUCUAGAAAAAGUAAAAGUUGACUAGGCAGAAAACAGGGAAGUACCUUCUAAAGGAAAAGUAUGGACAUUAGAAAUAGAAUGAUGAAUUGGGGAACUACAAGUAGUUCAUGAAAUUAGGUUGGAAAUAUGGGUUGGGAGUAGAUCCUUAUAUAGUAUACCAUGAAAUUUGGAUUUCAUUUUGAGUGUUUUAAGAAGGGGAUGCUUUUGAUGGUCAUUCUGGCAGUAGUCUGGAGUAAGUGAUGGAAAAUGUUCAGAUCUGGACAGGGAGUUCGGUUAAAAGGAUACUGUGGUAGUGGUAGUUAAGAUGAUAAAUGAGGCCAGAAGGAGUAGGAGUGAAGAAGAGGGGAUAACCUCUUAAAUAAGGGGUUAUACAAAACAUAGAUAUAAUUAGAACAUGGAAAAAUCAAAGCUUUCAGGCUUUGGCAAAUGUGCAUCCCUCUACCUCCAUCCCUGGCCUUCAUGAAGGAUCCUCUCAUGUUCUUUGGAUGGGGUUGCUAUUGGUUCCUUCUAUACCAGGGCUUGGCUGUACAGAUUUUGCAAGUUUCUUUGGCGGUGGGGAGGGCACCAUAUAUGAAAUGUUGACUCAGCAAGACAUCUGAACAGCUGCAGGCCUCUCAUAAAAUUAAGUUCCUGGUCCUUCUCAUCAGUAGCACAUCUAAUCUCACUAUCACAUAUCUCCAAAUAUUUUUCUUUUACUAAAAGUAGGCACUUUUAUGUGUAAAAUCCACUCAGGGAAGAAAUGGCCUUAGUUGUUAUUGUCCCAAUUGCUUUAUUUUCCUUGGGAAUUUUUUAAUGUUUAUGGUUAUAUCUCUUGGUAAAAAAAUACUCAAUAAUUAAAAAUCUAAACAUAUCCAGUAUUUAUUUUUUUCUUUUCUCAAAGCAAUAUAAUUACACAAUGUUCUUUGGGAAAUACUCCCCUUAAGAACUCAAGAGUAGUGACCCUGGGGAUUCAGAGAAUGGCUUUCUGUGACUAGAAUGAUUAAUGGAAGAUUACAUUAAGUAUUUUCAGUGGACCUUAUGUAACUAGCCUCCUGGAGGGCUAUAGGGGGAAGAAGGGGUUGGGAGAGGAAGCUCUGAGCAGGACAGCAAAACAGUACAGUGACAGUCUGGGCCUUGGGACAAGGUAGCUUAGACUCAAAUCUAGUGUCACACUUACCAAUAUGGUCUUGAGCAUGGUUUUUCACCUCUCUGAUACCUUGUUUCUUCUUAUGUAAAAUAGAAGUAAUACCUUUUUGCAAUGAUGAGGGGAUGGUCAUGUAAGGACUGAAUGGAUUACUUAUGCAAAUUGCUUGAAACAGGUGUGGAAUAUGCUAAAUGCUGUAUGAACUGUAGUUGCUGCUGCUGAUGAUGUGACAAAGAUGAAAAGAAGAUCAUUAACUAGAAAUACUUACAUUUUAUAUAAUCAUUGAGGUUCUUGGGGUUUGAUAAAGAGAAAAUAACUGACCUCAAGGUUUUUAAUGACAUGCUAGUAUGAAGCCACUUCUCUGCCUUUUUUUCCCUCUGCCAAAUAGGUUGGGAAAACAGAUGACUUUUGUCCAUGCCCUGAUCACUAAUCUAUUGCCUUUGUUCUUAUUUCCAAAUACAAAGCUGUUGAAAAGUUUUGAAAUACAUGAACUGAAAAAAAGAUUAUUCUAAAAAAUGUAGAAAAACAUUUUGGAGUUGGUCAAAGCUGGAUUUGAAACCUGACUCAAUUGCUUACUAGCUGUGUGAUCUAAGGCAUGUUACUUAACCUCAUUAAACCUCAGUUUCUUCAUCUAAUAAUUAAUUUGCAGGGUUUUCACGAGGACAUUGUAAAGUGUAUGUCAUAAGCAUGCUAUAAAUUGCAGCUAUCAUUGUUAGUUCUUGGGACAUUCACCGCGUGACAGAAACAACAGCAGGCCCUGGUGGCUGGGAGGACUUCAUGGAUCCAACAGCAACCUGAAGAAAUCCUACUCGGAUGGAUAUAAUACAACCUGCUAAGUGUCCUAGCACUUAUCAGGUUGUAUUAUCAUUGUCCGUGUCUAUGGCUCUCGUCUACCAGACUCUAAAUUCCUUACGGGCAAGGACAGUGCCUUAUUCAUCUUUGUAUUCGCAGUGCCUAAUCCAGUGCACAUUGUAGGCCUCAUUAAAUGUUUGUUGAAUGAAAAAAUGAAUCAUCAACAGACAUUAAUUGGGCGCCUGCUCUGUGAUCUCCAUGGGCUCACCUUGUCCCCGCCAGUUGCCUACAACGUCCAAGCUGUCUUCAGUAUGCUUUCUCCAGAAACUUACUCCUAUCAUCUAAUUCUUUUGCCGAGGACUUUUCUGUGUAGUGCAAAGAUAGCAAAUAUACUUCAUCCCAAGUACCAUCUCCAAUUGAUUGAUAGUACCUGUCUUGAUUAUGUUUUAUAAAAAGGAUUCUGAAGCCAAUUCUCAGCUCGGUAUGAAAGAGGAUUAUAACUAAUUAGUGAUGUUUGUCGAUGUGGGAGCAGAGCAAGUAGCCGCACAAGUGCCACGUAUAUGUCAUAUUUAAUACUGUGUUUUCCAUGAAAUACUGUUUCUAUGCCUGUGUUUUAGUCUUGCCUACUUGCAGAUGUUGCAUUGCUGCUGCUGCUUCUACUACUACAAUUUCUGCCAAUUGCUUUGGGUAGGACCAGAGUGAUCAUUGAUCAGAAAACUUCAUCCUCAUAGUCUGGGGUUUGUUCCCGUGACUGGUAUUCACACUUUUCCCCUUUCAGCUUUACCUCAGAUAUCCCCUUACCUGCAUGAACAGGUAAGCCUCCAGUUGAUAUUCACCACUCAACAGGCUUAUAUUUCCUUUUUCUUAUUUAGUGUGAUUAAUCAUUAUUGCCUCAGGUGAAGCCUUUCUGUUCGAAGAUGUGACAACUAGAAUACAAGUUAAACCAUUCCAUCAGGGCCCUAAAGUGAGUCGUAUAAAUUCCCUUUCAAUAUGGGAGAAAAUGGAGUGUGUUUGUAGCCCAUACGGCAGGAAGAACUGAGAAGGGAAUCACUGUAUGUGUGGGGGAGAGAGAUGAUAACCUGUGGCUCUUAGAAUAUGGAUGGAGGGUUAGCCUUAGAUGAAAGGAGUUACCUCCUCGCUGGGACAGUGAUAAGGAGUUAGGAAGAGUACCUGAUAAGGGUGUUGAAGAUUUGUAACUGCAGAGGUGGAUGAUGGAGAGGGAGCUGACCAAAACAGGAUUAUGAAGACAAGAAUCUAAGGACUGUCCAGACCAAAAGGCUAGAAUGGAGCCAUUGACAGGAGAGCUUAUGGUAUAUCAAAGUGAGAAACUAGUUUGAAACUUGAUUAUAGAGACUCAGAAAAAUAUAAAGUUGUCUUGGGCCAUUGUUACAAGUAACAUUUGGUUGCCUGGAACUUAUCUUCAUUGAGGGAUGGACAGCUAGCAAGAGAGGAGUUACACAUAACUGGAUUUCAGUAUACAGACUGUAUACAGAAGGAAGGUAGAUCAGAAGUGAGCUCAGAGUCUGUAAAGAAAAAGAGGCCUUAGUAUGAUCAAGAUGAGUGUUGAGUUGGAAAACUGGAAUGACAGGACCUGUAUCAGAGAGUGAAUUUUGGAAUGUUAAAAUUUAAAAACUGGAGUGAUCAAAUACCUGGAGUGAUCAAAUGUCAGGUAGUCAUUUACCUAGAUAUUGAAGUGACUCAGGAUUACAGCAAAAGCUGGGCUAGGAAUGAACACUGUGGGCUAGGUAAAAUAGGCUUCAGUAACUGAGGAAUGAUCUAGAGGUUGUCACUUAACCGUGCAGACAAGAGAAGAGAAGAGGUAGUGGGACAGUAGUAAUUAGCCUCAGAAGAAUAGUGGGGAUCAUCAGAAGAUACAAAAUCUGUAGUUUGCAUAUUGCACUGAGGUUUUGUCUGGCAGUAUGUGCAGCUAAAGUGAUCCCCUCCUUUAUUAAGUGAUUGUUCUAUGCCUGGCACUUUGCUGUGUGCCAUCUGUUUAUCCCUUUCAGGUCUGUCACAGUUCAUGUGUGAAAAUGAGCAACAGGCUGGUCAUCUGAAAGUGUCAUAAAAAGAUUUCUUUAGGAUCAAAAGUUUUCCUUGACCUUGAUAUAACUUCAUUACACGGUACAAGCUUUUGUUGGCUGUGUUCCACUAUGUGGUUUGUCUUCUGAGCCUUGAGUGAACUGGUACUGCCCUUUCUAAAAAAAACAGGCACAGUACUUUUACAACAUGCAUAUUGAUUAACUAGAACAAGACAUGGUCCUAUUAUCUCACUGAGCUUUUAAGAUAAAGGGCAGAUAAAAGAAAGCUCACAUCAGUGGGUGAAUAACAAAACUACUUUGUAAAAGCCAUUUGGGUCAGGAUCAUCCAUCCACAUUAGUGGCCAUACUGUGUAGAUGUUCCCUCUUCUGUUGGGAAGGAGGGCUAGAAAUCGAGGCAGAGAUGGCCCCUCAGGACUUGGAAAGUAAAAUUUAGGAAGAGAGUCUCUGUGAACCCUGACAUUGCAUCAAGUCAUUUUUCUUUUGUUAUAGUCUUCAAAUGAGUCAAGAUUCUAUUCUAAUAAAGGUUUUAGAGUCACUGUGUUAGAGUGACCAGGCCCUCAGAUAGCCCAUCCCCUCCUGUGGGGGCUACUCUAUAUUUAUUCCUCAGGAGGAGCUGGUAGAAGACUUCAUGAGGGAGAAGAUAAGGAAAAAAUCAGAGGAUGACUACAGCCUCUCUUCAUCUCAGCUUUGCAAAGCAUGACUCCAGAGGGACCACUCUUUUGAAGGCUCCAGACCACAGGUUGCUCUUCUCAAUUGCAUACUUAGUCCUCUCGGCUCCUCUCUCUUUUUGGAAGUUGUAUUGUAUGUGUAUAUAUGAACUGUCACUUCCCAUAAAGAGUACCCCAUGUACUCAAAAAUUGAUGGGUCCCUCAUGCUGGUAUAUAGGCCACCCAGGAUGAGUUUGAGUUUCAGCAACACAGGAGCCCAUCUUUAUGAUGAAGGAAGGCAGUCAGUUGAUUUGAAAAUAACCUCUAUCUCUGCAUUCAUGUUCUUUUUCCUUCAGUCCCAUGACUAAGAUAUCACAGAUUAAAGCAGACAAAAGCCAUGACUUUCUCCUUCCACUGGCACUUCUCUGGUUCGUGUAUAUGCCUCUGGGAGUCACUGUCUUUAAUUAGCACUUCCUUCUUUCCAUCUCUUUAAGACCCAGGAAGGCACAAAUGCUAAAAUUGGAGUGGAAUUUGUCAUAAUGACCUCUGCAGUUGGGGAAUAUGCCUGUUAAUCAGCCUGAUACCCACUCCCACGUUAUCUCCUGGCAGCCAGUGGAGAAGCUGUAGCCAAGACCAGCAACUGGACCCCAGCCCCAGGAUUUACUCCUGAUGACUCACCUGAUUAUGAAAUACCAGUAGGAGGGCUUGCCCCAACCCAGUAUCCCUUUCUGACUUGGUCAUCAGAGAUUAGGUUUUGUCUUAGGACAUAUGAUAUAUAAGGGCAUAAAUCUUUUGGGUUAACAGUAAAUCAUAUCAGGAGUACUGGUGACUUUUUGUUUCUCAGGGAUGGGCAAGAUAGGGCAAGGGGGAAGUGUGGAACAUCUUUCAAAUACAUUCCCAGUGAUUCCUCAGGACACCCUUCCUUAGUCACACCUUCCGAUAUCUUACCCUGUGUCUUGCCUCUCCUUUCUUCAGAAUCCUUCUAGUGCACUCUUUGCUCUCUUUAGCCAUCUUUCAUUUCCUGCCCCCCAUUGAAUGGGUUUCAGUUGUUUUUUUCUUCUCUUAUCCCUGGCCAUCUGUCCAUGAUGGGCGCCAGCUGUGAAUGAGUGAAUGAAGGCUCAGUGAAUGUUGGGAGUGAUACCAUGUUUCUCUCUGGAUAAAAGGAGAGUGGAGGACAGAGGGGAAGGAGUGGGAAGUUAUGGAAUCCCAUAAUGCUUAACAUUUUAGUGGGUAUUGGAUCCAGAAGCCUACAUGAUUAAAGGAAGCAAACCUGAUGCUUGUGAGUGAAGAUAGGAGUGAACUCCUUAUUGCCAUUAAGGAGGAAGAGAGGGGAGAAAAGUGAAGGACAUCAUAAAAUCCUUUACUUCAGUGGCGGAGGCGCUGAGACUCGCUUCCUAAACCUGUAAUUUUUAAAUGUAGAUUGAAGAUACAUUGUCACGCUGUACUAUUUCUGUUGCUACUCAUGAGAGUCACUGCCAGCCACUCUUCUCAGAUAGGUCUGCCUUUGUGGAGGUUUCAGUUGACCGCUGCAAAGAAACAACCCAGAAAAAAAGUUUGCAACUUAGAAGGACUCUCUGGCUCAGUGACAGGGUGUUAAAGGGGUUGAGGACAGAAGAAAUAGCACAAGUAGUAGCAAGUAGUGCACUUGUUUUUCUUUUUAAUAGAAUGAAUGGGCCAGAGGCAGUGGGCAGAAUGGCUUCAGGCAAUCCCAAACACCAGGUAUUGCCUAAGGAAACAGUUACAAUGAAAGACCAGUGCUUGGACCUAGUAUUUGUCAUUCCCCAGAACAUGAUGGAAUAUCUAAAAUAAAAAAGAAGAGGUGCUUUGAAGAAGGGUUUUAAAAGAUUAUUUCUUAGAAGGAGACUUAGAGGAGAGAAAACUUCCAAUUAUAUAAGAUGGGCAUUAUAGUUUUUAAAGACAUUUGUCCCCUGCAUGGGUCAUAGAGAUUGAUACCAGCAUCAGCCUGUGGCUGACCAGGCUGGUUAAACUUAGCAGUUUCAUGCUCCUGGAGAGAUGCUGCCUCCCUCUCCCUCUCCCUCUCCCUCUCCCUCUCCCUCUCCCUCUCCCUCUCCCUCUCUCUCUCUCUCUCUCUCUCUCUCUCUCUCUUCCCCACCCCCUCUCCUCUCGCUUUGGCAGGUACUUAUCUGCAAUGAGUCCAGAACCUGAAGGAGCAAGAGAUCCAGGGGGGACAACAGUGUGGCCUUCUAAGUGAAGAUGGCAACUCAAAAGAUCAUGGGAUUGGCUGCACUGGGCUGGGCUUGUUUUUUCAAAAUAUAAACAUUGUUUUCUUUUUGAUUAUAAAAAUGAAAAGUAUAAAUUAAAAAGUGAAGAAUACCUGUGAUCAUAUAACCCAAGAAACAAUAAUUUAUAACAUUCAAGUGUGCUUCUUUUCACUCUUUUAAGAAAAGUAUAUAUAACAUAGUUUAAAAAUAAAAUUGACAUUUAUUCUCCAACUUUUCUCAUUGGAAAACAAGCAUUCUUCCAUGUCAUUAGCAUUAUUUAAAAACACAAUAUUAAGUGUUACAUAAUAUUUCAUAUGGCUCUAACAAAAUUUAUUUAGAUGACUGAUGUGGAUACUUUGGAUAUUGACCAAUUUUGCCUAUAAAAUUAAAAUGUAAUGAACACCAUUGUACAUUAAUCAUUAUAUGCAUCUAUUUCUUUAGAAUAAAUUUCUAGAAUUAGAAUUACUGACUUUGAAUGAUGAAAGCAUUAUUAGGGCACCUGAAAGUUGUUGUUGAAUUGUCCUCAAUAUAGUUGUACAAAUUACAUUCCUGUCAGUGGUGCAUCAAUGUGUAUAUUUCUCCACACAUUCAUAACAUACCCUUUUCUUUUACAAACCUCUGCUCAUUUGAUAGGCAAAAUAGCCAUUUGUUUUAGAUAUUUUUAUUUCUAAUUUACAUACACUAAAAUUCACUUUUAUGGUGUAUAGUUCUAUAAUUUUGACAAGUAACAAAUGUCUCCUUCCAGUCCAGUACCAUACAGAAUAGUUUUACAACUAAUAAUUUCUCUUGAUUGCUCUUUUUGUUGUAAACCCCUUUCCCUAUCCGUAUGGUUUUGCCUUUUCCAGGUCGUAUGAAUGGAAUCAUGCAAUAUGUAGACCUUUUGGUCUGUCUUCUUUCACUUAGUAGAAUGCAUUUAAGUAUAAUCCAUAGUGUAUUAUGUAAAUAAAUAUUGUUUUUUGUUGUACUUUAUGGUAUGGGUAUACCACAGUUUUUAAUCCAUUCACUAAUUGAUGGGCUUGCAAGAUGUUUCCAAUUCAGACCAUUAUGAGUAAACUUAUAAACUCUCAGAUACCAGUUUUGAAUGUAUGAAUAUAAAUGUUCAUUUCUAUAGAGUAAAUGCCUGGGAAUGAGAAUGAGUGCUAAAUUUUUCCAAAGGUUCUGUAUGAUUUUGCAUUCCCAUCACAAAUAUAUGUCCCACUUGCUCCACUUCUUCCAUAUCUCAACCAGCACUUGACAUUAUCAGAGUUUAAAAAAUUGUAGCCAUGAGGUGUGUAAUGAUAGUUUAUUAUGGUUUUAACCUGCAAUUCCCUAAUGGCAUAUGAGUUUGAACAUCUUUUCGUACACUUAUUUGCCAUCUGAAUAUCUUCUUUAGUGAAGUCUGUUAAAUCUUUUGCCCCGCUUUUGAGUUGUUCCUUUUCUUACUGUUGAAUGUUAAGAUUUCCUUACUUAUUUUAGAUACAAGUCCUUUAUCAGAUAUAUUACUUGGAAAUGGAUUCUCCAAGUCUGUGGCUUAUCUUUCCAUUAGCAGUGCCUUUUCCAGAGCAAAAGUGACAAAAGUGUUUAAUUUGAUAAAGUCCACAUUGUCUAAUAUGUGACAAUGUAAGUUGGGAUGGAUAUAAAUAGAAUUGAAUUUUUCUAAGCCACUAACGUCAUCAAGGAAAUGUUACAAUAAUAACAAAUAUUUAUUGUGGAAGACUGUAAGGGUAAAUCUAAAAGAAAGAUCUGUCCUAAUCCUUACACUGUGUAAAUCUCCUCACCUUCCAGUGUGCACAGGAUCUGUGUCUAGCUCUGACCAAUAGGAUAUGGCAAAGGUGAUGGGGUAUCAUUUCCAUGAAAAUGUUGCAUAACAUUACAUUUCCAUGUAAAAAUAGCCUCAAAAUAUACAGAGCAUUAAUUAAUAGAAGUUCACAGAGAAAUUGAAAAAUCCACCAAAAAAGUGACAGAAUUCAACAGCUCUUUUCAAAUACUGAGAAAUCACAUGUACAAAUCAACAGCAAACAGAAGAUCUAUGCAAUUUUACAAGCCUCAGCAAAUAUAAUUGGAAAUAAACUACUUUGAAGAGUUACAGAAAACAAUUCAUUUGAAGCACACUUGGAACAAUUACAAGAAUUGAUUCUGCAUUGGACCAUAAAAAUUACUGAUUUAAAGAACUGGUAUCAGAGCAUCCAUAUUGUCUUACACAGCAAUUAAGUUAUAUACUAAUAAAGAAGGUAAACAUC